CAAUAGCGUAUAUUAAAGCUGUUGCGGUUAAAAAGCUCGUAGUUGGAUUUCUGUCAAGGACAACUGGUCCACCCUCCGGGUGAGCACAUAGUUUGGUCUUGACAUCUUGCUGGAAGCUGUUGCUGCACUUGGCUGUGUGGCGCAGUGUUCAGCACUUUCACUUUGAGGAAAUUGGAGUGUUUCAAGCAGGCACAUGCCUUUGGACACAGUAGCAUGGAAUAAUUAGAUUGGGCUUUUGCUCCAAUUUGUCGGUUUCUGGAGCUGGGGUGAGUAUUAAUGGGGAUUGUUGGGGGCAUCCGAAUUUAGCCGUCAGAGGUGAAAUUCUUGGAUCUGCUAAAGACGGACAACUGCGAAAGCGUUUGCCCAGGAUGAUUUCAUUGA
rnacentral:rRNA from 1 species